AGAGUUUGAUCAUGGCUCAGGAUGAACGCUAGCGGCAGGCUUAAUACAUGCAAGUCGAGGGGCAGCAUGAUUGUAGCAAUACAAUUGAUGGCGACCGGCAAACGGGUGCGGAACACGUACACAACCUUCCAACAAGUGGGGGAUAGCCCAGAGAAAUUUGGAUUAAUACCCCGUAACAUAGCGAUGUGGCAUCACAUUGCUAUUAUAGAUUUUUCGCUUGUUGAUGGGUGUGCGGCUGAUUAGAUAGUUGGCGGGGUAACGGCCCACCAAGUCUACGAUCAGUAGCUGAUGUGAGAGCAUGAUCAGCCACACGGGCACUGAGACACGGGCCCGACUCCUACGGGAGGCAGCAGUAAGGAAUAUUGGACAAUGGACGCAAGUCUGAUCCAGCCAUGCCGCGUGAAGGAUUAAGGUCCUCUGGAUGGUAAACUUCUUUUAUAAGGGACGAAAAAAGGCUUUUCUAAGUCGUCUGACGGUACCUUAUGAAUAAGCACCGGCUAACUCCGUGCCAGCAGCCGCGGUAAUACGGAGGGUGCAAGCGUUAUCCGGAUUCACUGGGUUUAAAGGGUGCGUAGGCGGGCAGGUAAGUCAGUGGUGAAAUCCUAGAGCUUAACUCUAGAACUGCCAUUGAUACUAUCUGUCUUGAAUAUUGUGGAGGUAAGCGGAAUAUGUCAUGUAGCGGUGAAAUGCUUAGAUAUGACAUAGAACGCCUAUUGCGAAGGCAGCUUACUACGCAUAUAUUGACGCUGAGGCACGAAAGCGUGGGGAUCAAACAGGAUUAGAUACCCUGGUAGUCCAA
rnacentral:rRNA from 1 species